rnacentral:misc_RNA from 1 species
GGUAUAAGGAGAAUACAUAUAUUUUGUUCUACUCACACUUGGGAACUCUAAAUUAGUACCAGAUAUUUGCACACAGAAAAAAAUCUGAAAUUCUACAAGCAUUCUAGACUAGUGAGUCACCUAAUUAGUUGUGGAAUUAGGGGGAUCCAUUCCCAUUGCCUUGUAAUAAGCCAUUUCCGCAGUAGCCAUGCGAUCCUGAAACAUUGUCCAUUCUCUUCGACACCUUUCUCUUACCCCUUCCCAUGGUGCCUUGCCAUUCUCCGAUUUACCCUGGCUUCCAAGAGAUGGAACAGUUUGAUGUACAAUCCACUGUGCAUCUACAACUCCUAUCUUUUCAUGAGCGGGCUCCACACAUCUCCUAAGCGCAAAAUCAAGACCCCAUCCAUGGACCAAG